ensembl:lncRNA
AUGGAGGCAGCGAGUAAUCAACCGUCUGCUCUGGAGGAUUUCCUCAGCGCCAGUGUUCGGAGGAUGGACUCCCAGGAGAGGAAUCUUAACGACACUGGUCGCGCGGUUCAGGCUUUGGUGACGCAGGUGUCCGAGCUCACCCAACAGCUUCAGUUACUACGAGCUCCCACUGCGCCGCCCACACCGCCCGUUCCGGCAGCCCCUUCGGAAGCCCCCUCCCAGCCGGAACCACGGCUCCCCAUUCCGGAGUCAUAUUCGGAUCGUUGUGUGAGGUCCGCGUGGUGUAUGUCUACUCGUUGUUCGGCGUUCCUGCCUCUUGCACUGUUUCCUGUUCGGUCGUCACUGGAUUACAACCUUGUUUACGGAUAUCUCGCCUUCACCCACUCCACCAACGCACUCAAGGGGAGUGUUUGUUCCUCACCAUCUCCACCAACGCACUCAAGGGAAUCGUCGGGUCUUCACCAGUUCUAUCAGCGCACUCAAGGGAAUCUACUCACCUGUCUGUGCUGCCAUCAAAGUCCCUGCGUCAUUCUCCAGGAGCCUGUCAUCAUCUCAUAGUGUCAAUAAACAUCAUUAUUACUCGCAGUUGCCUCCUGUCCUUUAUCACGCCGUGACAUAUAUAUAUAUAUAUAUAUAUAUAUAUAUAUAUAUAUAUAUAUAUAUAUAUAUAUAUAUAUAUAUACACACUGUAUUUCCAUAGUCUCCAAUGGAGCAAAAAAAAAAAAAAAACCAUGAAGAAAAGCAGCACAUUUACUGCAUAUAUCUGGUCAUAUCCAGACACUGGGCAUUGCACAACACUUUACAGAGCCAUUAUUGAAAUCAUUAUCAUCUUCCUCUAGUAUGACUCUACUGAUGCACAGUCAAAAGCUGUGCUGAAAAAUGAUUGGCUGCAAUAUUCCAAGUUUUAUAUUUUUAAGGCAGUGAACAUGACCACCAACUUUAUUCAGACACCUCCCACCCUGGUUGUUUAUAAAAAAAAAUUAAUAAUCUGCGCUCCAGAAAAUUCAGUCCUAAAUUAAACCUAACAUAUCCCGCACAGUGCUCAAAGUGAGUCAGAGGUCCAGUUUCAUUGCUGGAACAAAUUAAUUUAUUCUUUUUUAAUAAAUAAAGUAUUAUUAAACUCCAUGCAAAUAGCAUGAGUGGGAUCUCGUUUUGCUCUAUUUUAAAAUAAAACAAUAUGAAAAAG